rnacentral:lncRNA from 1 species
CUAAACUUGAAAUAAGACUAAUCUGUAAUUUUUGAAGGGAGUGCAAAAUUAUCAAAAAUCUGAGAAGUCUAUGUAUUUAUCCUAAUUCUAUUAACUAGGCCAACAAUUUUCAAUCAACUGGGCACUCGAAAGUUACAAAUUUUCAGGAACAUUUCCCCCAGUGCACAAUGUUAAAUCCAGGUAAUUUAAAGUACUAGUGUAAAAAAGGAGAUAAGGCUGCCUGAAAUCUGCAUCCUACCAUAAUUUUAAACUAAAGAACACAAAUAUACGAUGUAAUUUUUUGCGUUCCGCCCUCCUCUCAAGAAAAAAACAUAUACAAUAAGAAAGACACACUGCCUUUCUCAGCUCCCGGGCAAAUAUCUUUAUCACACAAUCAAGACAGCAGCGGAGCAAACCCGAAACAGAAGAAAAUGCAACUCUUCCCCAUAGUAACUUCUUCAAACAGGACUACAAACAGCUCUGGCAAAGGUAGGGUUCACAAAAAGUAAUCCGGAGUCUUGCGAGUCGUGUCAGGUUCAAUCUGCCGAGGAGCUGGGUCGAAUUGGAGGAAAUUCUGCUCCAUAUUUUCCCCGAUUUCAAGUAUUGCAGCCAUGUUCCCACAGCGAUAACAGUAGUUUGGAGCACUAAAAACUGUCACCACAUUCUUCUCCUACAAUAUAGCAUGGGUGAUUAUUAAUUAUAUGUAGAGAAUAUAGCAUCUUUGGUCCCUAAUCCAUUGUUCGAGUAGCAAGUUGGUUGGUCAUACACAGUUGCAAAAUAGACCCCAACAAAA